AUUGAACGCUGGCGGCAUGCCUUACACAUGCAAGUCGAACGGUAACAGGUCUUCGGAUGCUGACGAGUGGCGAACGGGUGAGUAAUACAUCGGAACGUGCCCGAUCGUGGGGGAUAACGAGGCGAAAGCUUUGCUAAUACCGCAUACGAUCUACGGAUGAAAGCGGGGGAUCUUCGGACCUCGCGCGGACGGAGCGGCCGAUGGCAGAUUAGGUAGUUGGUGGGAUAAAAGCUUACCAAGCCGACGAUCUGUAGCUGGUCUGAGAGGAUGAUCAGCCACACUGGGACUGAGACACGGCCCAGACUCCUACGGGAGGCAGCAGUGGGGAAUUUUGGACAAUGGGCGAAAGCCUGAUCCAGCCAUGCCGCGUGCAGGAUGAAGGUCUUCGGAUUGUAAACUGCUUUUGUACGGAACGAAAAGCCUCUUUCUAAUAAAGAGGGGUCAUGACGGUACCGUAAGAAUAAGCACCGGCUAACUACGUG
rnacentral:rRNA from 1 species